UGGUGCGGUUGAUUCGGGUAUGCUCUAUUCAAAGAGGGAUGCUACUUAAUAGCUUUGGGAGCAAAUGUUGCAUCGUGGUUAUGAAAUGAUAUGUUUGUCAGUCAUCAAAGUACAACAACUAAAAAAACAAAUUAUAAAAAUACUAUUCAUAGCAGGCUUUGCUUAUCCAAUUGUAAAUGAUACUUACAGUUGAUGUAUGAAUUCCAAAACUGCGAGUGGUCCUGUGAACAUCCUUCAAAGCAGAAAUUGAUUCGAUUUGGCCAAAUUCAUUCAUGAGAUGAUCUGUACAAAGUAUACCACAGUUCAGGCACUAAUGUGAUUAUUAAUACAGAUACAAGAUAGUUCGUGGUCAGGGGCGAAGCCAGGCCCUUUUUUGGGGUCAGCUGACCCCGAUGGAUUGCUACAAAAUCAGUGUUAAAACAUUGUUCUAGAGCCUAAUUAACACAAGCAAUGCACUGGCUGACCCCAAUGGAUUUUCUGCUGGCUUCGCCCCAAUCGUGGUGCUAUCAGAAUCUGAAUAAUGAAAUUUUGAAACCCGAUGGCGUUACACUGCAUACAAACCUGGAAUGGUUGCCACAAAAAGGAAUUGCCUAUUAGUUGACCUACAUCGUCUAUGGUUUACAGUAUAUAAUAACUGUCUCAAAGAGCAAAUCGAAUAAUAUGUGCUAUUGGCAAUAUAACUUAUUACACUGGUCUCUCUCAUAUGUCAGGUUGUGUUGUUUUAACGGAGCAGCAAAAAAUCAAGUUGAUAAUGUGUUGAUAUAUGUUACUACUGGAAUAUCAUCUCUCAUGUAUUAGCUUAUUGGUGAUUCCUAGAUGACAGUGUAAAUAUGUACAAAGAUGCAACCUUGACAAUAUUGCAUAAGAGAUUCAGUUGGAACUCCGCAAAAGAAGGAUUUAGCUGGGAUUUAUGAGCACUGAUGUUAGUAUUGUAUAAAAUUGAAGCGGUCUUGACAUUCUGGAUAUUUUGGGACAUUUGAGUCGGGAGAAUAUGCUUCAAGAGGAUGCAGGAGUUUUUUCUCGAAUGAUGUGAAUAAGUUACACGAGCUUCAGGUACAGUCAGAUUUUUUUACGAGAUAUCACACGGUAUUAUACUUUUCACAUUAUUACAGUGGCGCCAUCGAUAGUACACAUGACAAUCUCUAAUACUAUGAAGAGGGAGAUUCAUCAUCUGUCCUGCGCUGCGACCCAUGAUUGCACUUGUAAGAAAAACUGUUGCCAAAAAAGAUCAUGGCGAAAGAACCAGUUUGCAUGUGUGUUCAUGCUAAUGUGUUUCAAUUCGAGCAUGACAAAGUAGCACGGGACAUCAUUGAGGUGUGGAAGGGUUAGGUGGAAGAGGACAGCCUCGCCACCAUACCAAGGCCGUCAGCGAGGCCAUGGCUAUGAUGCUGCACCUGCAGAGGGAGAAGGCCCGUGUCCAGAUGGACCUUUGCCAGUCUUUUGCCUUGCCGACAGGAAGCUCGUCAUUGUUGCCGCCAAGCUUGAGAUUAUGGAUCCCAUGCAGCGUCAAGGACAUGUUGCAUCAUUUAUUAUCUUCCUCAUUUUUCAAUGCUUCAUUUUGUUUCCUUCCCUUAAUUGACCUGCUGACCAGCUAAUCGUGCUGUCGACCGUAUGUGUUUGUUUCAACGAAGGAAUCAACAUGAUAUUCGACGCCGAAGAGAAGGGUUUGAGAUUCAGCACAUCUUCUCUCUGCCCAUCUAUAUACCUCAUAUGCUCAGAGUGUUCUUUGCUCAUAGAAGGUUAUAUCAUAAUUUUUAAGAGGAGAAGCAUAUUAUCGUAACAAUAGUAAUUCAUGUUCUCUGCUAGAUUGAACUAUCAAAGUGAUGAACUGUGAAAGCUAUUCCGUUUUU